rnacentral:rRNA from 1 species
AUCUACAGCCAUACCAUGCUGAACCUGCCUGAUCUUGUCUGAUCUCGGAAGCUAAGCUGGGUUCGGCUUGGUUAGUACUUCGAUGGGAGACUGCCUGGGAAUACCAGGAGCUGCAGGCU